UCCGCUUUCCAGACCCUCAGCAGCGCCUUUCGUGAGUAAUCAUCGAUCCCCGCAUCUGAGCCGUCCAGAUAGAAUUCCUUAAAGGCGUUCGCGAGAUAAUGGACGUCACUUGCCGCCAGAUUCAGACCCUUUGCACCGGUCGGAGGAACGAUGUGGGCGGCAUCUCCGGCAAGGAAAAGCCUGCCGAAGCGCAUCGGUUCGGCAACAAAGCUGCGAAGCGGAGCAAUGCUUUUCUCGAUCGA
rnacentral:misc_RNA from 1 species